rnacentral:tRNA from 1 species
GGAAACGUGCCUGAAAGUUAAGGGCCUCCUUGAUAGGGAGGAUAAUAAGGGCUCAAAUCCCUUCGUUUCCU